rnacentral:rRNA from 1 species
GGUUUGGCACCUCGAUGUCGACUCAUCACAUCCUGGGGCUGGAGCAGGUCCCAAGGGUUUGGCUGUUCGCCAAUUAAAGUGGUACGUGAGUUGGGUUCAGAACGUCGUGAGACAGUUCGGUUUCUAUCUGCCGUGGGCGUUGAAGAAUUGAGAAGAGCUGCCCCUAGUACGAGAGGACCGGGGUGGACGUACCGCUGGUGUACCAGUUGUCCUGCCAAGGGCACCGCUGGGUAGCUAAGUACGGAAGAGAUAACCGCUGAAUGCAUCUAAGCGGGAAGCUCCCUUCAAGAUAAGUUCUUCCUAUGAGAGUCGUUAUAGAUGAUGACGUUGAUAGGCUGGGUGUGAAAGUGUGGUAACACAUGAAGCUAACCAGUACUAAUAACUCCAUUGACUUAUUCAA